rnacentral:rRNA from 1 species
UACGUAGGGGGCAAGCGUUUGUCCGGAUUUAUUGGGCGUAAAGAGCGUGUAGGCGGCUGGGUAGGUCCGUUGUGAAAACUCGAGGCUCAACCUCGAGACGCCGAUGGAAACCCCCCAGCUAGAGUCCGGAAGAGGAGAGUGGAAUUCCUGGUGUAGCGGUGAAAUGCGCAGAUAUCAGGAAGAACACCCGUGGCUAAGGCGGCUCUCUAGUACGGUACUGACGCUGAGAGCGAAAGCGUUGGGGAGCGAACAGG